rnacentral:lncRNA from 1 species
GUCCAAUAUUCCAAAUAGGUAUUGGAGGUGUCACACACCUGAUGUCUAUUACGUAUUAGAAUUAUCAUUCAUUAUAUGACCAUCAUGAUGUACCUUCAGAUCAAUGCUCAGAUUGGUCAAGCCACACUCGAGCCUGGACAUCCAUUUGUUGGAUACACUUGGUGUGUCAUAUUAAUGGUUGAACCUAACCAAGAUUUUCAGUGG